CAAAUAGAAUGUUGAGCUCCCUGAUUCGUUCAGUAAAGAACUAAAAAAUCUUCUGGAAGGCUUAUUAAUACGUGAUGUCGACAAGCGAUUAGGAUGUCGAGGACGUGGUGCUGAAGAAAUCAAAGAACAUCCAUUUUUUGCUGGUAUUGAUUGGCAUCAAGUCUACAUUCAGAAAUAUACACCGCCAUUGAUUCCUCCCAGAGGUGAAGUAAAUGCAGCUGAUGCUUUUGACAUUGGUUCAUUUGACGAAGAAGAUACCAAAGGAAUUAAACUAACUGAAGCUGAUCAGGAUCUCUAUCGAUAUUUCCCACUUACAAUAUCCGAAAGAUGGCAACAAGAAGUUUCAGAAACGGUUUUCGAAACAGUAAAUUCAGAGGCCGACAAACUCGAACAAAAACGUAAAUCAAAACAAAAGAACCGAUUCGAUGCUGAUGAAAAGGAAUCAGACUGCAUUUUACAUGGUUAUAUUAAAAAACUUGGUGGCGCAUUUGCAUCUGUAUGGCAAACAAGAUAUGCAAAACUGUAUCCAAACCGAUAAUAAUUAUUCUUACCAGUUUAAUUAACGCAACAAACAAUUUACAAAACAUGUAUCUGAUUUUUCAAGAAGGAAAAAGUUGAAAUAGUUUGACAGCUGACUUGAC